GGGAGGGCGAAGCCCCCCGCCCUGGUUAGAGUUAGGUAGAAUAGAUUAGGUCUGUUACGAUAGGAUAGUGUAAAAAUUUCUCGUUUCGAAAUAUGCCGUUUGUCAUCCUUAAGACUUUUCAGGAAUGUCAAAAAAGCCUCAUUUUGGUUUUCCCCACCCAGCCCCUUUGUUUGCUGGCUUUACUGAAAAAGACAGAGGAUGGGAGUAUUGGUUGAAACUGCAAAUUUACCCUGUUUUCUCUCAAAUUGAUUGGUUUAAUGUUUAGUGUACAUUUUAUUACGCAAUAUUAAUCAUUAGGUAGUUGUUUGAGAAGAAAAUGCUGCCUUAGGAUUCUUUAUAGUUUCCGUAAGGCAAAAUUCACGUCAUUAUGGCAUUUUUUAAGUACCAUUAACGAUCAUGAAACAAGAGAUUGUCAGCUAUUGAGUCGUACUGAAUAAACGAUCGAAGCAGUUAGAGAUAUUCGAAGCAAGUGGGAUUCAGAGUGCAUAAUCUUUCCCAUCCUUGUGUUGUUUCUGACGUCCGGCGCCGAGCGUGGUGGUGCUGUUGUAGUUCUCUUUCCCCAGUUGUUUAUGUCCCCGCUGAGCAAGUGCAGUAUUUGGAAGAGCUGGCACGGCGAGUCUCCGGCGAGGCGUGCGGGAGUUACUCUUGAGGACGAUGGCAAGGCGCUACAAGAAGGAAAAUAUUGCCCGCCAGCAAAGCCAGAUGGUGAUAUGGAAUCGUGAUUCGUGGAGUGUACCUUGGACGAUGCUUAGAGUGACUUGACAGAACAAAUUACAUCGCCACAGCCUGAGCAGCACUAUUACGAAGGUAACUGAGGAACGGUUUACAGUGUCUUGUGGCACAGACAGACGAACUGAGCACUUCCUCUGCUGAUGGUCACCGACUUGCUCAUAUCCAAGCACCAGCAUGGCUCUCCAAGAUGUGGGCGGCGUCGGGCCGACCCAUCACUCGCAGCACAUUGAGGAGGGACACAAGAAGUGUGUGAGGCAUGCUUCAGGACCCACCUGUCCACAUUUAGCCGGGCAGCAAGCAUGCGCCAGUCAUUGCCCCGGGCAUUGGGUGGGUCAAGGCAGCGGCACAGCUCCCACCGCAGUCGCUGUGGCAGGCGGAACACUCCAGGCUCAGGGGUCAGCUCCACCAGGGAGGAAAAGCCACUGCUAGAUGUCACUGGUACCAAGACUGUUGAGAGGAUGGUAGCCAGUGGAGUAAGAAACACUGUAGCUCAUCCACAAUGUGUAUACUUUCUUCCAGGAAGUUAAUUUUUUCAAUUCUUGUUUUCCAUAAACAUUAUUCAGUAGC